GAUGAACGCUAGCUACAGGCUUAACACAUGCAAGUCGAGGGGCAGCACAGUGUAGCAAUACACGGGUGGCGACCGGCGCACGGGUGCGUAACGCGUAUCCAACUUUCCCGUUACUCUCGGAUAGCCUUCCGAAAGGGAGAUUAAUACGAGAUGGUGUUCUAGUUUCGCAUGUUAUUAGAACUAAAGAUUCAUCGGUAACGGAUAGGGAUGCGUGACAUUAGAUAGUUGGCGGGGUAACGGCCCACCAAGUCUACGAUGUCUAGGGGUUCUGAGAGGAAGGUCCCCCACACUGGAACUGAGACACGGUCCAGACUCCUACGGGAGGCAGCAGUGAGGAAUAUUGGUCAAUGGGCGCAGGCCUGAACCAGCCAAGUAGCGUGAAGGAUGAAGGUUCUAUGGAUUGUAAACUUCUUUUAUACGGGAAUAACAUCACCUACGUGUAGGUGCCUGCAUGUACCGUAUGAAUAAGCAUCGGCUAAUUCCGUGCCAGCAGCCG
rnacentral:rRNA from 1 species